rnacentral:lncRNA from 1 species
GAGAGACAGACUCCAGUUAUAAACAGAGACAGAGAGACAGACUCCAGUUAUAAACAGAGACAGAGAGACAGACUCCAGUUAUAAACAGAGACAGAGAGACAGACUCCAGUUAUAAACAGAGACAGAGAGACAGACUCCAGUUAUAGACAGAGACAGAGAGACAGACUCCAGUUAUAAACAGAGACAGAGACAGAGAGACAGACUCCAGUUAUACACAGAGACAGAGACAGAGAGACAGACUCCAGUUAUAAACAGAGACAGAGAGACAGACUCCAGUUAUAAACAGAGACAGAGAGACAGACUCCAGUUAUAAACAGAGACAGAGAGACAGACUCCAGUUAUAGACAGAGACAGAGAGACAGACUCCAGUUAUAAACAGAGACAGAGACAGAGAGACAGACUCCAGUUAUACACAGAGACAGAGACAGAGAGACAGACUCCAGUUAUACACAGAGACAGAGACAGAGAGACAGACUCCAGUUAUAAACAGAGACAGAGAGACAGACUCCAGUUAUAAACAGAGACAGAGAGACAGACUCCAGUUAUAAACAGAGACAGAGAGACAGACUCCAGUUAUACACAGAGACACAGAGACAGAGAGACAGACUCCAGUUAUACACAGAGACACAGAGACAGAGAGACAGACUCCAGUUAUAAACAGUAGUAGUCAGUAGUCUAGGUGACAGUAGGGUGGUAGUCUAGGUGACAGUGUGGUGGUAGUCUAGGGGGCAGUGUGGUGGUAGUCUAGGGGACAGUGUGGUGGUAGUCUAGGUAACAGUGUGGUGGUAGUCUAGGGGACAGUGUGGUGGUAGUCUAGGGGACAGUGUGGUGGUAGUCUAGGGGACAGUGUGGUGGUAGUCUAGGGGACAGUGUGGUGGUAGUCUAGGUAACAGUGUGGUGGUAGUCUAGGUAACAGUGUGGUGGUAGUCUAGGUGACAGUGUGGUGGUAGUCUAGGUGACAGUGUGGUGGUAGUCUAGGGGACAGUGUGGUGGUAGUCUAGGGGACAGUGUGGUGGUAGUCUAGGGGACAGUGUGGUGGUAGUCUAGGUAACAGUGUGGUGGUAGUCUAGGUGACAGUGGGUGGUAGUCUAGGUGACAGUGUGGUGGUAGUCUAGGUGACAGUGUGGUGGUAGUCUAGGUGACAGUGUGGUGGUAGUCUAGGUAACAGUGUGGUGGUAGUCUAGGUGACAGUGUGGUGGUAGUCUAGGUGACAGUGUGGUGGUAGUCUAGGGGACAGUGUGGUGGUAGUCUAGGGGACAGUAGGGUGGUAGUCUAGGUGACGGCCAGGACAGAAGUUGAUCUUAGAUUUCCAAAAACAUGAAGACAUCCUAACCCAUUACACACACACACACACACAAACAACUACACACAUAUACACACAUAUACACACACAUGUGCACACACACACACAAGCAUACAGACACACAAACAUACACACACACACACACACACACAGCCAAGCACCGCCACUCCCCCUUUAGACAGGACAGAAUGUAAACCAUCUAAGAAUUUGAUUCGCUGUCUGUCUGUCUGUCUGUCUGUCUGUCUGUCUGUCUGUCUGUCUGUCUGUCUGUCUGUCUGUCUGUCUGUCUGUCUGUCUGUCUGUCUGUCUGUCUGUCUGUCUGUCUGUGUGUGUGUGUGUGUGUGUCAGAGAAGGAAGGGGACCCUCAUAUACAGUUGAAGUCGGAAGUUUACGUCCACUUAGGUUGGAGUAAUUUAAAACUCAUUUUUCAUCCACUCCACAAAUUUCUUGUUAACAAACUAUAGUUUUGGCAAGUCGGUUAGGACGUCUACUUUGUGCAUGACACAAGUAAUUUUUCCAACUAUUUUUUACAGACUGAUUAUUUCACUUAUAAUUCACUGUAUCACAAUUUCAGUGGGUCAGAAGUUUACAUACACUAAGUUGACUGUGCCUUUAAACAGCUUGGAAAAUUCCAGAAAAUUAUGUCAUGGCUUUAGAAGCUUCUGAUAGGCUAAUUGACAUUUGAGUCAAUUGGAGGUGUACCUGUGGAUGUGUUUCAAGGCCUACCUUCAAACUCAGUGCCUCUUUGCUUGACAUCAUGUGAAAAUCAAAAGAAAUCAGCCAAGACCUCAGAAAAAAUUAUAGACCUCCACAAGUCUGGUUCAUCAUUGGGAGCAAUUUCCAAAUGCCUGAAGGUACCAUGUUCUUCUGUACAAACAAUAGUACCUGAAAAUAGCUGUGCAGCAACGCUCCCCAUCCAACCUGACAGAGCUUCAGAGGAUCUGCAGAGAAGAAUGGGAGAAACUCCCCAAAUACAGGUGUGCCAAGCUUGUAGAGUCAUACCCAUGAAGACUCGAGGCUGUAGUCGCUGCCAAAGGUGCGUCAACAAAGUACUGAGUAAAGGGUCUGAAUACUUAUGUUAAUGUGAUAUUUCAGUUUUUAUUAUUUUUUUAUACAUUUUCAAACAUUUCUAAAAACCACCUUUUGCUUUGUCAUCAUGGAGUAUUGUGUUUAGAUUGAUGAGGGAAAAACACAACUUAAUCCACUUUAGAAUAAGGCUGUAACAUAGCAAAAUGUGUAAAAGGUCAAGGGGUCUGAAUACUUUCCGAGUGCACUGUACAUUUAUUCAAAAUUUUAGGAAAAGCAGCAGAGAGAGAGAGAGAGAGAGAGAGAGAGAGAGAGAGAGAGAGAGACAGAGAGACACAGAGAGAGAGAGAGAGAGAGAGAGAGAGACACACGAGAGAGAGAGAGAGAGAGAGAGAGAGAGAGAGAGAGACACAGAGAGAGAGAGAGAGAGAGAGAGACAGAGAGACACACAAGAGAGAGAGAGAGAGAGACUUUUUUUUCUUAGUUUACCUUUAACUUACUUAGCUAGCAUACAUACAUACCAUACAGCUAAAUGCUUGCUGUUUGGGGUUUUAGGCUGGGUUUCUGUACAGCACUUUGAGAUAUCAGCUGAUGUACGAAGGGCUUUAUAAAUACAUUUGAUUUGAUUUGAUGAUUCAGCUUACUCAACAACAUCACUCCAAAAGAGAAUAAUGUUUUUAUUUUUUUAAUUUUUUAUGUUAGCUAGCUGGCUAUCCAAACACUGCAACUUUUCCAAGUCAAGCUAAGCUUUUCUAUUUUAUUAAUAAUGUAUUGCCACCAAGACCCGCCGGUGUAACUCCUAAACUGGUCCGUGUACUGCGCUGUGCACGUUAAAGGAGCGUGCACGGACUCUCCCGUAUUAUCACCUCACAGGUGUGGAAGUUUCUACUGACACGGUUGUCCAUGUUUAAUUCCUG